UGAAGGGAGUAUUACAGUAACAACAUGUCCCUAUGGCUGUGAAACUCCACUGAACAUACACACGACGCUGGAGCUCUAAGUGCAUUCAAAAUGAUCAAGGCUAUGAUCUCAAGGCAAGAGAUGACAAAAAUCACCUGGUCCAUCACCCAUUAACUGAAGACCCAGACAGAUGGAGGUGUAAGUUGUGAACCUUUUAUACAUGAAGCCCUGAAACACUCGGGAUGCUGAACCAAACCUAUGGGCAGCAACAGAGUGUGCCAACCACUAGGAAAGGCCAGACCUAUUCCUACAGCAUUUUGUACCAAUGCCAAAGGAGUUCCCCAUUGGGCACAACUGUGUUAGAGAAGCAUGGGUCAAGCUGAACUGGACAAGAUCCGGAUGUGGACACUUCAAAACAACACUGUACAAGAACACCUUGGGCAGCCCCUGGCGUCCAGCAACCAGCCCAGCACUUCAUGGAAAGUCUCUAGAAAAGGCCCAGACCGGGCAGAGGGAGUCUGCAGACAGAUUGGGACGUUGCUCUGACUCCACAGGACAGAAGAGGGAGGUGGCUAUGCACCGCGACACCUGCUGAAUGGCUGGAGGGGGAAGCAGGCUCCCGUGCAGAGACAGCGGCACCUCUGAACUCUCCACAGCGCCUCUAUUUCCUCGUAGAGCUCCUUCAGCUCAGGGUCCCUGGCGCCCGGGCAGCUCAGCCCCGCGGCCCGUGUCAGCGCAGCGCGGCUCGGCUUGGCUCGGGGGCAGGAAGCGUGUCAGGCUCCGAGAACAACCGCGCGGCGGCCGGAGCUCUCCCGAAGGAGCGCGCGGAUGAAUGGAGGCGGCGGUGAGCGGUAGCAGACAGAAGCCAUUACUCACUUCCUCUCGGCUCGGCCCGGCUGCGGCUCUGCACACUGCGGCUGCAGCUUCAUUUCCUCCAGUCAACCGCGAGCCUCCCGGCGGGGCGCGCGACAAGUGCCUCAGGACCGGGCACGGGCUCCCGUCCCUUCAGCGCUUUUAUCCCCGAGCCGCCUUCAUUUGUGUCUGCCUUUGUCGCUGACAGCCCUUGCUUGCCCUGCAGCUGUGCCUUUUUUGUAACCGUGAAACUGCUCUUCUGUUACUGCAUUAAAGAAACCUGCUAAUAAAGUACAUGGAGCGUCUCA